rnacentral:rRNA from 1 species
AUUGAACGCUGGCGGCAGGCCUAACACAUGCAAGUCGAGCGGAUGACGGGAGCUUGCUCCUUGAUUCAGCGGCGGACGGGUGUGUAAUGCCUAGGAAUCUGCCUGGUAGUGGGGGACAACGUUUCGAAAGGAACGCUAAUACCGCAUACGUCCUACGGGAGAAAGCUGGGGACCUUCGGGCCUUGCGCUAUCAGAUGAGCCUAGGUCGGAUUAGCUAGUUGGUGGGGUAAUGGCUCACCAAGGCGACGAUCCGUAACUGGUCUGAGAGGAUGAUCAGUCACACUGGAACUGAGAGACGGUCCAGACUCCUACGGGAGGCAGCAGUGGGGAAUAUUGGACAAUGGGCGAAAGCCUGAUCCAGCCAUGCCGCGUGUGUGAAGAAGGUCUUCGGAUUGUAAAGCACUUUAAGUUGGGAGGAAGGGCAGUAAGUUAAUACCUUGCUGUUUUGACGUUACCGACAGAAUAAGCACCGGCUAACUCUGUGCCAGCAGCCGCCGUAA